CCUACGGGAGGCAGCAGUGAGGAAUAUUGGUCAAUGGACGAGAGUCUGAACCAGCCAAGUAGCGUGAAGGAUGACUGCCCUAUGGGUUGUAAACUUCUUUUAUAUGGGAAUAAAACGUUCCACGUGUGGGAUUUUGUAUGUACCAUAUGAAUAAGGAUCGGCUAACUCCGUGCCAGCAGCCGCGGUAAUACGGAGGAUCCGAGCGUUAUCCGGAUUUAUUGGGUUUAAAGGGAGCGUAGGUGGAUUGUUAAGUCAGUUGUGAAAGUUUGCGGCUCAACCGUAAAAUUGCAGUUAAAACUGGCAGUCUUGAGUACAGUAGAGGUGGGCGGAAUUCGUGGUGUAGCGGUGAAAUGCUUAGAUAUCACGAAGAACUCCGAUUGCGAAGGCAGUUCACUGGACUGCAACUGACACUGAGGCUCGAAAGUGUGGGUAUCAAACAGGAUUAGAUACCCGUGUAGUC
rnacentral:rRNA from 1 species